rnacentral:rRNA from 1 species
AGUGAACGCUGGCGGUAGGCCUAACACAUGCAAGUCGAACGGCAGCACAGUAAGAGCUUGCUCUUACGGGUGGCGAGUGGCGGACGGGUGAGGAAUACAUCGGAAUCUACUUUUUCGUGGGGGAUAACGAAGGGAAACUUACGCUAAUACCGCAUACGACCUACGGGUGAAAGCAGGGGAUCUUCGGACCUUGCGCGAGUGAAUGAGCCGAUGUCGGAUUAGCUAGUUGGCGGGGUAAAGGCCCACCAAGGCGACGAUCCGUAGCUGGGCUGAGAGGAUGAUCAGCCACACUGGAACUGAGACACGGUCCAGACUCCUACGGGAGGCAGCAGUGGGGAAUAUUGGACAAUGGGCGCAAGCCUGAUCCAGCCAUACCGCGUGGGUGAAGAAGGCCUUCGGGUUGUAAAGCCCUUUUGUUGGGAAAGAAAAGCAGCAGGUUAAUACCCCGCUGUUCUGACGGUACCCAAAGAAUAAGCACCGGCUAACUUCGUG